CAUGUCCUUUUGAAUAUAAUUUAAGGUCUGAUCUGCUCAAUGAAGUUUAAAUAGCCGCAGUAUUUUGACUGUGCAAAGGUAGCAUAAUAAUUAGUUUCUUGAUUAGAAACUGGAAUGAAUGAUUGGACAAGAAAAUUUCUGUCUCUUUCUUAAUAUUAUUGAAUUUUAUUUUUAAGUGAAAAAGCUUAAAUGUUUAUAAAAGACGAGAAGACCCUUUAGAGUUUAACAAUUUUUUUUAUUGUAAGUUUAGAAAAGGUGAUUAAAUAAAAUUGUUUAGUUGGGGUGACUAAAAGAUUAAAUAAAUUCUUUUAAAUUAUAAUUGGAUAUAUCUAAAUUUAAAAUCUAUAAUUUGUAAAGUUAAAAUAAAUUACCUUAGGGAUAACAGCGUAAUUUUUCUUAGAAGUUCUUAUUUAAAGAAAAGUUUGCGACCUCGAUGUUGGAUUAAAAUUAAUUUUCGGAGCAAAAACUGAAAAAUUUGGUCUGUUCGACCUUUAAAAUUUUACAUGAUCUGAGUUUAAACCGGUGUAAGCCAGGUUGGAUUCUAUCUUUAGAUUUUAAAUAUAUUUUAGUACGAAAGGACCAAAUAUAUAUUAAAUUAAUUA
rnacentral:rRNA from 1 species